UUGAUAGCUUUGGAGACUGAAGUCCUUUUUAUUCACAGUACAGGUACAAAGUAAGCUUACCCAUGCUGUCCUACCAAUGUGCUUCAAACUGAAGGCACCCUCUCUCCAGGCGUGAGAGGGGUAGUUCAUUCUCCAGGCCAAUUUUAAUUCUUUCCCUACA
rnacentral:sRNA from 1 species